GCUCCCUUGGAGCAGUGGUUACCUCAGUAAGUUGCAUUUCUAAUGCGAAGAUCGCCAGUUCAAUCCUGGCAGGGAGCA
rnacentral:tRNA from 1 species